GACAGAGGCCUCGAGCGUUAGGCGGAAUCACUGGGCUUAAAGCGUGUGUAGGCGGGCCCGUAAGUGUCUUGUGAAAUCCCACGGCUCAACCGUGGAACUGCUGGGCAUACUGCGGGUCUUGGGCCAACUAGGGGCAGCCGGAACAAGCGGUGGAGCGGUGAAAUGCGUAGAUAUCGCUUGGAACGCCGAAGGUGAAAACAGGCUGCUGGGUUGCGCCGA
rnacentral:rRNA from 1 species